CCUACGGGUGGCAGCAGUAGGGAAUCUUCCACAAUGGGCGAAAGCCUGAUGGAGCAACGCCGCGUGGGUGAAGAAGGUCUUCGGAUCGUAAAACCCUGUUGUUAGAGAAGAAAGUGCGUGAGAGUAACUGUUCACGUUUCGACGGUAUCUAACCAGAAAGCCACGGCUAACUACGUGCCAGCAGCAGCGGUAAUACGUAGGUGGCAAGCGUUAUCCGGUUUAAUUGGGCGUAAAGGGAACGCGGGCGGUCUUUUAAGUCUGAUGUGAAAGCCUUCGGCUUAACCGGAGUGGUGGAUUGGAGACUGGGAGACUUGAGUGGAGAAGAGGGGAGUGGAACUCCAUGUGGAGCGGUGAAAAGCGUAGAUAUAUGGAAGAACACCAGUGGCGAAAGGGGCUCUCUGGUCUGUAUCUGACGCUGAGGUUCGAAAGCGUGGGUAGCAAACAGGAUUAGAUACCCCGGGUAGUC
rnacentral:rRNA from 1 species